GUGGCAGGUGGCUCAGUAGCCUGUCUGUGCAACAAUCGGGGCAGAUGUCGAGUUCUAUGCAGAUGUAGAGGAUGGCGUGCGUGUCUUGGAAGGGCCCAACUUCUCCCUGUCUGAAAUUUAUGACAGGAAAAUUGCACAUUCAAUUGAUGUUGUUGGUUAUGGAGCAGUCGAUCCUGGUGGCCGACAAGUUUGGCUGGCCAAGUGCUCAAACGGCAAUUUCCUGUUGAUAGCCAGAGGCAGUGGGGCUUUGGGCAUCAAUAGGAGCAUCUCAUUCCCCAUAAGAGUGUCGUGCACGAGAGAGGUCGUCAAUGUUACAGUGAAAUCUGACGAGGAGCUGGGGGCAGAACCGCGUACCAACUUAUACCCUUACUAGUGAUAUAAUCUUGUACUUAUAUAUGUCACUAUCUGGGUACUUUGUAUUGAUGGCAGAUACUACUUAUGUAGUAAUUUAAUCUUUGUACUUAUCUCAGUAAUGAUUAGUGUGCUGAGGGUGUAUCUAUGUCACUAGGUACUUGUGUACUGCUCACAGAUACUACUUACUACUAUGUAGUAAUCCAAUUUUGGUACUUAUCACAGUAA